UUGGUGGAUGCCUUGGCGCAUGGAGGCGAUGAAGGACGUGUUAGGCUGCGAUAAGCCUGGGGGAGCUGCCAAAGAGCUUUGAUCCCGGGAUGUCCGAAUGGGGAAACCCACCCCUUUGGGGUAUUGGCACCUGAAUACAUAGGGUGUUGAGGCAAACGCGGGGAAUUGAAACAUCUUAGUACCCGUAGGAAAGGAAAUCGAAGAGACUCCGUUAGUAGUGGCGAGCGAACGCGGACCAGGCCAGUGGCAUGAUUAAGUAAAGUGGAACCGUCUGGAAAGUCGGGCCGUAGUGGGUGAUAGCCCCGUACACGUAAUCCUUAGUCAUGUCCUAGAGUAAGGCGGGACACGUGAAAUCCUGUCUGAACAUGGGGGGACCACCCUCCAAGCCUAAAUACUCGUAUGUGACCGAUAGCGAACCAGUACCGUGAGGGAAAGGUGAAAAGUACCCCGACGAGGGGAGUGAAACAGUUCCUGAAACCGGAUGCCUACAAACAGUUGGAGGGCGCAAGCCUGACAGCGUACCUUUUGUAUAAUGGGUCAGCGACUUAAUUUAACGAGCAAGCUUAAGCCGGUAGGUGUAGGCGUAGCGAAAGCGAGUCUGAAUAGGGCG
rnacentral:rRNA from 1 species